rnacentral:rRNA from 1 species
UCCUCCCUACGGGGCGCAGCAGUGGGGGAUAUUGCACAAUGGGGGAAACCCUGAUGCAGCGACGCCGCGUGGGUGAAGAAGCGCCUCGGCGCGUAAAGCCCUGUCAGCAGGGAAGAAAAUGACGGUACCUGAAGAAGAAGCCCCGGCUAACUACGUGCCAGCAGCCGCGGUAAUACGUAGGGGGCAAGCGUUAUCCGGAUUUACUGGGUGUAAAGGGGGCGCAGACGGCGAUGCAAGCCAGGAGUGAAAGACCGGGGCCCAACCCCGGGACUGCUCUUGGAACUGCGUGGCUAGAGCGCAGUAGG